rnacentral:piRNA from 1 species
UGGUCUGCCGUAGUCCAUGCUAAGUCCUC